GCCUCAUCUAGCUGCAAGUGUUUAGCCUCUAGGUUCCGCCAAUUUCCAGGUUGCUCUGGAGUUUCUGUCCCUGACCGGAAAGGGUGUGUCUGAACUACAGAAACAAAAAUUAUGUUGCGCCCCUUGGCGGCCGGUGGAAGGAUUGUGGUGUGCCCGUCUACUUCCUGGAAAUGGGCUUUCAGCUUAAAAAUGUUGGAUUUUUCUCUGCCAGCAUUCCACUGCUGUUGGUUUCAACAUCCACAAAGAAGGCGAGAAAGAAACACUUGUUGAAUGCCUACAUUGGGCCAGGACUUAUGGAAAGUACUUGACAACCUUGAAUUUCAUCUGAACCAGCAGUAAGAGUUGAUAAAUCCUCCCACUCUUUUGUGUUCCAAAAUUGAAUUGCAAAGGACUACAUUGCCCUGCUCUGGCAAAUUUGCUAAGAUAAAACUCUCUCCAUUCGUCCUUGGGACUCCCUUAAUACUCAUGGAUAACUCUUUUGUUUACCUGCCUCUAUAAAGCUCUGAGUUUCCUUAAUUGCC
rnacentral:lncRNA from 1 species